rnacentral:SRP_RNA from 1 species
GCUGGGCACAGUGGCACAUACUUGUAGUCCCAGCCACUUGGGAGGCUGAGGCUAAAGGAUUGCAUGAAUCCAGGAGUUCUGGGCUGUAGAGUGCUAUGCUGAUCGGGUGUCUGCAGGUUCGGCAUCAAUAUGGUGACUUCCCAGGACCAGGGAUCACCAGGUUGCCUGAGGAGGGAUGAACCAGCCCAAGCUGGAAAUGGAGCUGAUCAAAACCCCUGUGCUGAUCAGUAGAGAGAUCAUGCCUGUGAAUAACCACUGCCCCCUAGCCUGGGCAACAUAGUGAGACCCCCAU